rnacentral:lncRNA from 1 species
ACAUAGUAUCUUUGUCUUUGUUUUUCUUGUGUUGUUAUUGUUGGUUGCUUCCUGUGUAGUGUUUCUUAAGCCGAAGGUCUAUCGGAAACAACCUUUCUACCUUCACAAGGUAGGGGUAAGACCCGCGUACACACUAUUCUCCCAGAUCCCACUUGUGGGAUUACACUGGGUUCGUUGAUGUUGUUGUUGUAAAUAUUCAUGCUUCUGCUAGACCCCUAAAGUAUUCAUCGCACAAACCUCCUGAUUGAUCAGUUGGAAAGUUUUUUAGCCUUUUUCAACCACGGUUGAGCAGUCCAUGCAUCUCCUUUAAGUUCUUC